UGGGACCCGAUACACCAAAGAUGCAGGAGUGACUGGUGCAAGUGUGUUGUUAGUCCAUGAACAGUACUCAAUCACGGUGCAAAGCAACAGUCAUUGGCCCCUCCAUGAUUCACGGCAAAUGCUAGUCUACCAAACAAGCACGACAGCAAUCAGCCUGCCGAUGUGCUUCUUCUGCCUCAUUCGGCUCACACUGCAGCAUUGCCGGCACCCACCACCACAAUAUCAAGAAGA
rnacentral:lncRNA from 1 species